UCUUCGUAGGUGAACCUGCGAAGGGAUCAUUACUGAGAUAGGGUUCUUCCGAGCCCGACCUCCAACCCUUUUGUCUACCAAACCUCUGUUGCCUCGGCGGGUCGCCGGCCCCUUUACUGGGAGCCGCCGUCGGCCCUCGUGCUCUCGAGUGCCCGCCGCAGGACCUAUCAAACCCUUUUUAAACGAGUUCAUUCUGAGUGGUAUUUAAUACAAACAAAACUUUCAACAACGGAUCUCUUGGUUCUGGCAUCGAUGAAGAACGCAGC
rnacentral:misc_RNA from 1 species